rnacentral:rRNA from 1 species
UACGUAAGAGGCAAGCGUUGUCCGGAAUCACUGGGCGUAAAGCGCACGUAGGCGGCUUGGCAAGUCAGGGGUGCAAGCUCCAGGCUUAACCUGGAAAUUGCCCUUGAAACUACCUCGCUUGAGUGUCAGAGGGGAGACUGGAAUUCACGGUGUAGCGGUGAAAUGCGUAGAUAUCGUGGAGAACACCCGUGGCGAAGGCGGGUCUCUGGCUGACUACUGACGCUGAGGUGCGAAAGCUAGGGGAGCAAACGGG